UGGGGAAUAUUGCACAAUGGGCGCAAGCCUGAUGCAGCAACGCCGCGUGAACGAUGAAGGUCUUCGGAUCGUAAAGUUCUGUUGCAGGGGAAGAUAAUGACGGUACCCUGUGAGGAAGCCCCGGCUAACUACGUGCCAGCAGCCGCGGUAAUACGUAGGGGGCUAGCGUUAUCCGGAUUUACUGGACGUAAAGGGUGCGUAGGUGGUCUUUCAAGUCGGUGGUUAAAGGCUACGGCUCAACCGUAGUUAGCCUCCGAAACUGGAAGACUUGAGUGCAGGAGAGGAAAGUGGAAUUCCGAGUGUAGCGGUGAAAUGCGUAGAUAUUGGGAGGAACACCAGUAGCGAAGGCGGCUUUCUGGACUGCAACUGACACUGAGGCACGAAAGCGUGGGUAGCAAACAGG
rnacentral:rRNA from 1 species